rnacentral:rRNA from 1 species
UACAGAGGCGGCAAGCGUUGUUCGGAAUUACUGGGCGUAAAGCGUGCGCAGGCGGUGAUGUAAGACAGAUGUGAAAUCCCCGGGCUCAACCUGGGAACUGCAUUUGUGACUGCAUCGCUGGAGUGCGGCAGAGGGGGAUGGAAUUCCAGGUGUAGCGGUGAAAUGCGUAGAUAUCUGGAGGAACACCGGUGGCGAAGGCGGCAUCCUGGACCGACACUGACACUGAGGAGCGAAAGCCAGGGGAGCAAACGGG